UGGUAUCUGGCAGAAGUAAAUGCACUUGACUUAGAAUCAUGUAAUACCUUUUAGGUGGUGCCAA
rnacentral:tRNA from 1 species